rnacentral:rRNA from 1 species
AUUAGAUACCCUGGUAGUCCACGCCCUAAACGAUGUUAACUAGUUGUUGGGAAGUAAUAUUCUCAGUAACGCAGCCAACGCGAGAAGUUAACCGCCUGGGAAGUACGGUCGCAAGACUAAAACUCAAAGGAAUUGACGGGGACCCGCACAAGCGGUGGAUGAUGUGGAUUAAUUCGAUGCAACGCGAAAAACCUUACCUACCCUUGACAUGUCAGGAAGCUCUUGUAAUGAGAGUGUGCCCGCAAGGGAGCCUGAACACAGGUGCUGCAUGGCUGUCGUCAGCUCGUGUCGUGAGGUGUUGGGUUAAGUCCCGCAACGAGCGCAACCCUUGUCACUAGUUGCUACGAAAGGGCACUCUAGUGAGACUGCCGGUGACAAACCGGAGGAAGGUGGGGAUGACGUCAAGUCCUCAUGGCCCUUAUGGGUAGGGCUUCACACGUCAUACAAUGGUCGGAACAGAGGGCAGCGAAGUCGUGAGACGGAGCCAAUCCCAGAAAACCGAUCGUAGUCCGGAUUGCAGUCUGCAACUCGACUGCAUGAAGUCGGAAUCGCUAGUAAUCGCGGAUCAGCAUGCCGCGGUGAAUACGUUCCCGGGUCUUGUACACACCGCCCGUCAAACAAUGGGAGUGGUGUUUACCAGAAGUCGUUAGCCUAACCGCAAGGAGGGCGGCGACCACGGUGAGCACCGUGACUAAUGUUAAGUCGUAACA